ACGGUCCGAGAGCGCAGCAAACAAAUUGGAAAAAAAAACAGACCUUGUGCUGAGUUUUUUUUUUUUUUUUUUUUUAGACAUCUAGCAUGAAAGAUAGAUGGACGAAGGACUAAUGGCAUGACUUGUAUACAGGACUUGAUAGUGUAAUUUUUGACGUGGUUUCAAUGUCACAUCUUGUGCAUUUCAUUCAUCUCAGACGUAGCCCAUCUUUGACGAAUCUGUAUCUCAUGAAGUAUCAAUUUUCGUCAU
rnacentral:ribozyme from 14 species